rnacentral:rRNA from 1 species
UACAGGGGGUGCAAACGUUGCUCGGAAUUAUUGGGCGUAAAGCGCGCGUAGGCGGCUACUUAAGUCGGAUGUGAAAGCCCUUGGCUCAACUGAGGAAGUGCACCCGAAACUGAGUGGCUUGAGUACUAAAGAGGGUCGCGGAAUUCCCGGUGUAGAGGUGAAAUUCGUAGAUAUUCGGAAGAACACCAGUGGCGAAGGCGGCUCACUGGACUGGUAUUGACGCUGAGGUGCGAAAGCGUGGGGAGCAAACAGG